rnacentral:rRNA from 1 species
UACAGAGGGUGCUAGCGUUAAUCGGAUUUACUGGGCGUAAAGCGUGUGUAGGCGGUUCGUUAAGUCGGAUGUGAAAGCCCUGGGCUCAACCUAGGAAUUGCAUUCGAUACUGGCGGGCUAGAGUACGGUAGAGGGCGGCGGAAUUCCAGGUGUAGCGGUGAAAUGCGUAGAUAUCUGGAGGAAUACCGGUGGCGAAGGCGGCAUCCUGGACCAUAACUGACGCUGAGGCGCGAAAGCUAGGGGAGCAAACGGG